UGCGCCUCCUUGGACUUUGUAGGAUGGGCCGUGCGCUCUGGCAGCCCUUCCUGUGCGAGCUCAGCAGGCCGGGUCGACCGGGCAAGCCUCGGCCUCUCCUUGCCCCUGGUGCUGAGCGGGAGGGGCAUGUGAAGGCAUGCCCCUCUCCCCCACCAGCUUAGCCCCAAGACCCUGCUCUGCCCAGCGGACCGGGGAGCGGGAAGAAGCAGACCCAAGGCGGAGCAGGGAACCGUGUGCAUGUCCCAGGGGGACGGUCCCUUUGUCACUAUGCUUUGAAAACUAGACACAGAAGAUUCACUGCAUCCAGCACUGAGAUGCAGCCUGCUCUGGGGUGGGGCGCAGCAAGGAUUCCCCCACCCGGUGCUGAGAUGCAGCCACUUCUGGGGCGCAGAGCAGAUACUGCUAGUAGAAGGAUCAUGCAUGAAAUGUAGCUGCCUCUGAGCUCCUUUCACCCAUGGUUCCAUCUGUGAACAGUUAUUGACCGAGCCCCACCUCUGCCAGCACCGUGAUACAGGUGGAACAGAACCCAGGAGUCCUGCCGGCCGGUGUCCCACCCACCAUUAGAUCACACCAUUUCCUUUGCAGAGGACCCCAGGACCUCGCCCGGCUCUCGAGGGCUCUCUGGCUGCGGCUGCAUCUCGGACUCUGAAGACUCUGGAGCGGUGGAUGUGAACAUGGCCCUUAGCAGGCCAGGCUACCUCCUGGCAUGAGGGGCCUCCACACGCUCCUCUUGGUCUCUUUGCUGACGUGCUUCUCGGUGCGCGGGAGACGGGUCUGUGGAAAGGAGGCCAUCAGGGUCCUGCAGAACGUCACCAAGU